UCCGGCUUAACGCCGGCAGUCCCUCUAGAGUGCCCAACUAAAUGCUGGCAACUAGAGGCAAGGGUUGCGCUCGUUGCGGGACUUAGCCCAACAUCUCACGACACGAGCUGACGACAGCCAUGCAGCACCUGUGCAGGAUCUCCGAAGAGGGGCUCUCGUUUCUGAGAGCUUGCUCCUGCAUGUCAAGCCUAGGUAAGGUUCUUCGCGUUGCGUCGAAUUAAACCACAUGCUCCGCUGCUUGUGCGGGUCCCCGUCAAUUCCUUUGAGUUUUAGCCUUGCGGCCGUACUCCCCAGGCGGGGCACUUAAUGCGUUAGCUCCGGCACGGGAGGAGUCGACACCUCCCACACCUAGUGCCCAUCGUUUAGGGCGUGGACUAC
rnacentral:misc_RNA from 1 species